UCAUGUAUCAACUUUUAUUUUGUUGAUUUAUAGAUGUAAAAGUUGAAAACAAUUCAUGUAUUUUGGAGAAUGAUUAUGAUGUAAAAAGAAAUUAUGAAUGAAAGCAAAUGGAUGUAAUAGUUUUAGUUUACUAGUAUUUGAUUUAAAUGUAAUCAAAUAUUAUGUAUGGUUGUAUGUUUUAGCUUGAGAUUUUGCUUCCGUUGUU
rnacentral:lncRNA from 1 species